ensembl:lncRNA
UUUUACACAGAAAUUUUAUAGACAUUAUAUUUUUAAAAUGUUCGGUACAAUGCUUCUUACAUUUCAAAGUGAUUUAGAUUGUGCAAAAUAAAAGCAAAACAACAAACUCCAAACACUCACAGCUUUCCAUUCUUUCACUCUGAAAUAUUGCUGUGAUUAACUAUGUUCUCUCUGUUCAAUUUUACACAUCCCUUUACAGGGCUUAGAAGGGACCUCAAGAGAUCAUGGAGUCCAACCCCCUGCCAAAGCAGGCUCCCUAAACUAGGUUGCACAGGUGGGCAUCCAGUUGGGUAGUGAAUACCUCCACAGAUGGAGGCUCCACUACCUCUAUGGGCAGUCUGUUCCAGUGCUCCAUCACCCUUACCAUAAAGAAGUUCUUCUGCAUCAUCACAUUCUUAUAAAAAUGUGUAAUUGCACUAUCAACAUCACUGCUGCCACAAGCUGCUGUCUUAUCUCAAUAGGAAGUGGUAUCUUUUUAUUUGAACCCUGAAAAUUGCUAUCUAAAAGCCCACACUCAUAAUCUACUCAUUUACAAGUGUAACAAAGCUUCACAGAUCCCUUUUGUCAGGAGCUUCAGAUUUCUGCUUAAAAGUUCUGCUGUUAUUUACAAACUUGGGAAGCACCUCUGUGCUGAUAGAGUAGAGAAGCUUGCUGUGUGUUGCUCAUUCAGGUUACAGUCACAUGUCAGCCGAUACACAUCCUCACGUGUCUUGGGUGGUAUAAUGUUCCUUUAUGGAUACUAUAUGGCUUGCUGCUUUCUUCUCCAUCCUUAAUAGAGAAGACAGAGAUGAUAUUCUACUGCCAAUUCCUCACCUCUUCCAAUUUUUUUAAGGAGAGAUGUAAAACCAUAGGAUAAUUUUGGCAGGAUAUGACAGCUGGAUGUCUUCUGGUCCAAUCCACUGCUCAAAGCAGAACUGUCUUUGAAUUUAUACUAUGGUGCUCAGGGACUUGUUCAGUCAGUGACAAUAGAUCACCUUGUAAAUUCCACCUUGCGGGCCAUCCUUUACUUCCUUCCUUGUAUUCAGAAUUAAUUUCCACUUAAUUUUAUCCUAAUUUGUGUAUAUUUCCAUUGUUGUCUCAUUAUCAAUAACCAAAUAAACAGAGGACCUUGCAGUCCUUUAUAAGUAGUAUAGUCCUUUUAUAAGCCCUUUUAAGUAGAAGUCUUAUUACUCCAUUUUCUUUGAAGUAAUGAACAUACACUUUUAAUCUCCAUUUAUCAAAUAGAAUUGCUACCAAUUUCUGACAUAUUUUGGAAUCCAAAGUAUGUUUGUUAUUCGAUGGUAAAUACAAUUAAGUUAUUUAUAGUAAUAGCUAGGAUGAGUUAUUUAGAAAGCUCAGCUUUCAAAAUUGACUAUCACUCGCUUUAAUGUAAUAGUAAAUAAAUCAGUUUUACCAGAACCAUGGAUUGUCAUACCCAGUUUGCCACUUCCAUACUUGUGACAUACAACUUUACUUGGAAAAGGUUGGUGUAUGAAAAAUCUGUGUGUCUCUCCUAAGAACAUACUAUAAGGACAGCCAAACUACAUAUGAACAUAGAUCCUUCUACCACAUUAACCUAUCACAGACAAUAGUCAACUUAAAAAAAAAAUUCUGGAGGAAAACUGUAAAGAGCAGAUAGUCAUUCAUGUUGACAGACAGCAGAAAGAUCUUUUGGAAAGUGCUGGAAAGUACCACAGUUUUUUAUUUGGUAAGUACAGGCAUUGUGAAAUUUAUUGGGUAAGAAGGCAGCAAAAUAUAAGCAAAGAAGAAGCGGAAAGAAAGAAUACUUUAUUCAUUUUGCAAUUGGGAAUGGCCAUAUUUGUCAUGACAGGGCAAAACCAAGUCAGAGGGUGGACUGCUCUGGUAAGUCCCACUUUACUUCUGAAAAACACCUCCCUCAUUUAAGCCCUUCCCCACUUAGUAUAUAGUGUCCUCUACUGCUGCAUAAUGCUCAACUUAUUUCUUGUGAAGAAGACCUCAGAGGCAAAUUACACAAGGUUCUCCAGGGGGAACACAUACUCAUCCAGCUGCAGAUUCAACCCACCUUGAUCCCUAAGCAGAAGCCUACACUAGGAGCAGACCUCUCAUACCCCCUUUGUACAGCCAAUGGAGAAGAAGGGAUUUCCAAAAAGUGACUCAAAGCAGGGUCUGAAUCUUGCUCAGAAGGAUCCUCUGUGUCUCAUAUAAUAUGCUCCUAGAAUAGCUUCUGGCACACAAUAUUUUUUUUCUAUUGUAAGUUUGUUUGACUUAUAAAACUUUUGAAGGGCACUGUGCUAGAUGUUCUUAAUUCGUAUUGGAAAAAAAAAUCCUGUUUUUAAGCUUUUCUUGGUG